GAAUAGUUGACAAGGCGCUGAAUGACGGCGACGAGAUGCGACAGGAACGCAACAGGUAUCGGCCAAGGACAACCCGGAAGAGUAAGCUGCACCUAUGACGUCACUGGUACCAACGUUUAGGCGAAGAAACGCUAUCUAGCAAAAAUCCGUUCAUCAGGAAACUUGGCAGAGUUUUACACCAAAUACAUGCCGUUCCGUAAGGCCGAUAAAUUUGUAAAAGUUAGUCAUUUAUAUUUUGUAACGAGACAGGUCAGGUAUUAAUUACAUAACAUAUUCCCCAGCAUUGCUCAUAAUUUGUUACCGAACUCUAGACAGUUUUAUUUAAAUGUGCAAUUAUCUCUAGAAGAAAUUCCACGGCGAGACGCGAUAAGGACCCAACAUGUAUCCCAUCAAGGACAGGUAAGCACCCGGAAAAGCCGGAGGCUUUAUUGCAGCGCUUUUCUCCAAGUUUUCCCCAUUACAAGUGCACAUAAUAUGCUCAUUUAAUGCGCAGCCUUUUUAAUUGGUUCACUUGAUAGCCCGGAAGAGGAAGCGUCUUCUGGGCUACGCCAUGACGUCACUGGUACCAAUUUUUUAGGCGAAGGAACGCCGCCUAGCAGGAGCUCGCUCACACCUAGAAUGUUGUGUGGGACAUUAUGCAAAGUUUAGAAAGAAUUCGUAAAACAGGGAACGGUAUAAAUGCGAGUGGUGCCGGCAAUGGCGGCAUUCCAGGUGGGCGCUGGAGAACGCGGGAGCGUGUAAAAAAAAAAAUGUCCCGUCAAACGUGACAUUAAGGCCAUGAGUAUCUUGAUCAAUGGUGUUCCAUAAAUAAUAAUGUGCCCUCGCUUUCCGUACCUUUCGUCUCCCUUUAAUCCUAGCUAACUUUACCAUUCAUAAAAGUAAGCGAAACAAUUGAAUCGCAACAUUACUUAUAGCUUAGUUAUCUGGAGUUAACGCCAUAACGAUUUUCCAAUACAAUCCAUGAUCUUCCGAUUAUGAAGUACGCAGCGAAUAAAAAGACGCUGCAGACCA